rnacentral:rRNA from 1 species
GACGUAGGGCGCGAGCGUUGUCCGGAUUUAUUGGGCGUAAAGAGCUCGUAGGCGGCUUGUCGCGUCGUCCGUGAAAACCUGCAGCUCAACUGCAGGCUUGCGGUCGAUACGGGCAGGCUGGAGUUCGGUAGGGGAGACUGGAAUUCCUGGUGUAGCGGUGAAAUGCGCAGAUAUCAGGAGGAACACCGGUGGCGAAGGCAGCUCGCUGGGACGGUACUGACGCUAAGGCGCGAAAGCGUGGGGAGCGAACAGG